AUGCCAGAUUGGAAGGCGGGCGAGUUUGAGGGUAAAUUCAAGGAUGAAUUUGCUCAGGGUAAUAACAACUUGCAAGAAGAUGGAGCAGGGCCUUUGAAUAUCUCAAAUAAGAAACUGAAGCAUGGGAUUACCAGUGAAGAGAACCCGCAGGGUGUCGUGUCUACAGCAACUAAUUCAGAUUCACAGAAAUUUAAUUCAGAGCACAUCUACUCUACCUGUGUGGUCGCUUCCAACCAUGUAAGAGACUGCAAAAUUGAAUCAAGUGCGUUUCCCUUGAGCAGAGAUGAUACUACAUCUGGAACAAGAUACCAAACAGAAAAUUGGAACAAUUGCCAGUUUGCACUGAGUAAUGGCUCAGCUGUUCUCAACAAUCACAGUGUUCCGCAAAGUGAUCUCAAUUAUGGAGAUAAUGAUCUAAACUUCAUUGAUUGGCCUAGCAUUGAUAAUUUUGAGGAUGUUGAUACACUAUUCAGGGGGUGUGAUUCCACAUAUGGUGAACAACAACUGGAGAACACUGAUGAGCUGUCAUGGAUUCCUUCUUCAGAUGCCAUUUACUCUUCCGAUGUUGCUCUGCAGGCAGGUUUUGACACUUCUUAUUCAGACUAUGGUAUGCUGGAUGACCUGUCAGCAUUCCCCUGUGCACAAGAUAAAUCCCUACCAACAGCUGACGAGCAAUUCAAUGACAAUUAUCCAUUCAACGAGCAAAAGAAUGUUAAUGUAUAUGGAGAACAGUCUUACCAUGGGGGCGCAAUGGAAUUGUUGUCCACUGACCAGAUAUGCAAUGGAGAUGGAAACAUUGAUAUGAUUGGCGAGCGAUAUUCAUCAGAAAAUGCCUUGCAACAGUUGGAGGGCAGGAAGUUUUCUGUAUCUUCAGGAUCUCAAUUAAGCUCCUCCCAGAAUUUACUGAAGCAAAAGCACCACUCAGAUAAAACUUCACCAAGUAAUAUUACUUCUGAUUGCUAUUCAGAUAGAAACUGCCAGUUCAGUCCAUCUAUAUCUUUUGCACAGAGGAACUUGAUGGUUCAAAAACAAGUGGCUAAUUUGCAACCAGGACAGCUCAUAAAUGAUGAAGGACAACUUGGUCAACAAACAUUGACUAGAAGAGCUUCAUAUCCUUGUGAGAACUAUGAGGUUGAAAAGAAGGGCUUUGGAAAACAAAGUAAGGAUACACUGGGUACAUCAGUAGUGGUGGAUGGCUCUUUUGUGUCGUCUCUUUCUUCUGAUAAUUCUGUUGAAGAAAGCAGCUUCCAACAACUUCAGGAUGCAGUUAGUCAGUUGGACGUGAAAACCAAACUGUGCAUUAGAGAUGGUUUGUACCGCCUGGCAAGAAGCGCGCAAAAUAGACCAGUUUUCCCAAAUGCGAUGAAUAGACAUGAAGGAAGCCGGGAUGUAAAGGACACACAAAGUAUGGAAACUUCGGGCAAGUUUGUUGAUCAUAGGAGCAUUGAGACGCAGACAAAUCCAAUUGAUCGUUCUAUAGCACUCCUACUUUUUCAUCAGCCAUCUCAAGUGGCUGGAGCUGUUGAUAAUCCUCGCCACUAA
rnacentral:rRNA from 1 species